AGAGUUUGAUCCUGGCUCAGGAUGAACGCUGGCGGCGUGCCUAAUACAUGCAAGUCGAGCGAACGGACGAGAAGCUUGCUUCUCUGAUGUUAGCGGCGGACGGGUGAGUAACACGUGGAUAACCUACCUAUAAGACUGGGAUAACUUCGGGAAACCGGAGCUAAUACCGGAUGAUAUUUUGAACCGCAUGGUUCAAAAGUGAAAGACGGUCUUGCUGUCACUUAUAGAUGGAUCCGCGCUGCAUUAGCUAGUUGGUAAGGUAACGGCUUACCAAGGCAACGAUGCAUAGCCGACCUGAGAGGGUGAUCGGCCACACUGGAACUGAGACACGGUCCAGACUCCUACGGGAGGCAGCAGUAGGGAAUCUUCCGCAAUGGGCGAAAGCCUGACGGAGCAACGCCGCGUGAGUGAUGAAGGUCUUCGGAUCGUAAAACUCUGUUAUUAGGGAAGAACAUAUGUGUAACUAACUGUGCACAUCUUGACGGUACCUAAUCAGAAAGCCACGGCUAACUACGUGCCAGCAGCCGCGGUAAUACGUAGGUGGCAAGCGUUAUCCGGAAUUAUUGGGCGUAAAGCGCGCGUAGGCGGUUUUUUAAGUCUGAUGUGAAAGCCCACGGCUCAACCGUGGAGGGUCAUUGGAAACUGGAAAACUUGAGUGCAGAAGAGGAAAGUGGAAUUCCAUGUGUAGCGGUGAAAUGCGCAGAGAUAUGGAGGAACACCAGUGGCGAAGGCGACUUUCUGGUCUGUAACUGACGCUGAUGUGCGAAAGCGUGGGGAUCAAACAGGAUUAGAUACCCUGGUAGUCCACGCCGUAAACGAUGAGUGCUAAGUGUUAGGGGGUUUCCGCCCCUUAGUGCUGCAGCUAACGCAUUAAGCACUCCGCCUGGGGAGUACGACCGCAAGGUUGAAACUCAAAGGAAUUGACGGGGACCCGCACAAGCGGUGGAGCAUGUGGUUUAAUUCGAAGCAACGCGAAGAACCUUACCAAAUCUUGACAUCCUUUGACAACUCUAGAGAUAGAGCCUUCCCCUUCGGGGGACAAAGUGACAGGUGGUGCAUGGUUGUCGUCAGCUCGUGUCGUGAGAUGUUGGGUUAAGUCCCGCAACGAGCGCAACCCUUAAGCUUAGUUGCCAUCAUUAAGUUGGGCACUCUAAGUUGACUGCCGGUGACAAACCGGAGGAAGGUGGGGAUGACGUCAAAUCAUCAUGCCCCUUAUGAUUUGGGCUACACACGUGCUACAAUGGACAAUACAAAGGGCAGCGAAACCGCGAGGUCAAGCAAAUCCCAUAAAGUUGUUCUCAGUUCGGAUUGUAGUCUGCAACUCGACUACAUGAAGCUGGAAUCGCUAGUAAUCGUAGAUCAGCAUGCUACGGUGAAUACGUUCCCGGGUCUUGUACACACCGCCCGUCACACCACGAGAGUUUGUAACACCCGAAGCCGGUGGAGUAACCUUUUAGGAGCUAGCCGUCGAAGGUGGGACAAAUGAUUGGGGUGAAGUCGUAACAAGGUAGCCGUAUCGGAAGGUGCGGCUGGAUCACCU
rnacentral:rRNA from 1 species